GGAAACUUGGUGGGUGAUGCCGGAAAGCAUCUGCUUCGUCCUACCACAACAAAGACAGGGGUUGACGAGAACUCCAAAACAAUAGAUGUGGUGGAUCGGUUAGCAUUACAGGCCAUUGACACAAACAUUAUUAGUCCAGAAAGACGUGAGACUAAAGCACCCAAGCAGAGCAUGUUCUUGCAUACUUUAAAAUUCCGCUCACCCUAUUUUCAACGUGAUAUAAGCACUUCAAAACCGUUGAAAAAAAAUGAGAAGGAAGUGAGAUUUUAUGCCAUGUACUUGGACAGU